AAGAAGCGCCAUCUUUUCCCGGUUUGCAAUAAGUGAAAUUUCAAACCUCAAAAAUAUAUCUUUACCUAACACCUGAAGAAAAGCAAGAAAGGCAAAAAAAUUCUCAUCCUUUGUCAUUUUCUUUCCUUAACCAAAUUCCCAAAGUAAUGCUGAAAACUUGCACUUGAAAUUUGCCCAUCAACUAGAGUCAUCAGAUUCAGUUGUUACACUUCUAUUUCUUUCACAAAAGCUUUUUUUCCUAAAAUUUUAUAAUUUAAAGUUCUCAUGGUGGCUAAUGUUGAUGCCUCCGACUUCGAUUUCUGAUUUAUGAUUUUUCUACUGCUCAAUCGGUGGCAAUAAUAUGACAGACUGUCACAAUUAGCUAAUGGUAGCUCGUUAGCGACGGUCGAAUACUCGACCAAUCUGAUAACUACUCAUCUGUUGUUCCUGUGGUUUAAUUUUUAUUUAGGUAAAUUUUCUCCUCAAAAUUCCAACAUUAAUCCUUUACCCCUCAUUGUUCUUGGCUAUGUAAUUGGACAAUUAAGUUUGAGGUUUACAGCCUUAGUUGUUGAUUAUGGGCCAUAAACUUUUUAUGACAGCCAUCUAUUCCUGUACGGAGUAGCAGGUACUUCCUAAUAAGAAGUGGAAGCACAACCAACAAACCAACAUUGUACUCCAUGUGUGACUUAGUUUGAAGAAUUCUAAACAUUUUAUCUUCUUUUCUAUGAAGUAUUUAUUUUACUUGUAGGAUGCUUCACUUGAUUAUAUUUUGUACUUCUAGUUUUUUGUAAUUAUACUUUACAUGUUAUAUUUUCAUUUAUAAGAGAAUAAACAUGUUAUUUUGUAUAAGAUGAGAUUUUUUCAUCUA